rnacentral:tRNA from 1 species
GCCUCGUCAGCUCAAUGGAGCAGAGCGCCGGCCUACGAAGCCGGAGGGUGCACGUUCGAGUCGUGCACGGGGCGCCA